GUUGGACUCAAGCUGGUAUGGUUCAUACAAGCCAACAUCAUUAUGCAACAGCUGCAGUCAAUGUCGAGAGAAUACUGCUGCCCUGGCAGCUAGUAAGACAAAAUGAGGGAGAAGAUGAUGAAAUCAGGUAACACCUGUGGAUGAACUUUUCUUGGAACAGCUUCAUUAUGACUAUUUUUGUCUUGCAAGACUACCACUAGUGCAAUUAGCAAAUUAGUGUAGGCAACUCAGCCUGCAAUUCCAAUAGCAGCAUUUUAGCAAGCAGUUGUCUUGGUUCUCAGCAGCUAUCAGAAGCCCAACAGUAUGGUACUGGCAGGAUUUUGAGUGAAGAAGGACACACUGACAGCAUUCAAACUCGGAAGGAAAGAGUCCCCAUGAGGUGGGGAACUGAAGAAGGAAUGGACAUUUCAGCAACUGAAGCAAUCAAGGGAGGAAAAGGUGUGCUAAGACCUUGGUUUUCAGCUGUUGCAUUUCAGUGGGAAGCACAGGACAUAGGACAAGGACAGCUGAAAACAAG
rnacentral:lncRNA from 1 species